UAACACCUAGGAAACAGAUGCUAAUACCGGAUAACAACAGAUGAUGCCUAUCAACUGUUUAAAAGAUGGUUCUGCUAUCACUCUUGGAUGGACCUGCGGUGCAUUAGCUAGUUGGUAGGGUAACGGCCUACCAAGGCGAUGAUGCAUAGCCGAGUUGAGAGACUGAUCGGCCACAUUGGGACUGAGACACGGCCCAAACUCCUACGGGAGGCAGCAGGC
rnacentral:rRNA from 1 species